rnacentral:lncRNA from 1 species
GAUUGGCCUAGUCGAGAUCUUACUCAAUUGAAAUACGAUGAUGUAUUAAUUUCUAAAAUAUGGAGGGUUCAAUCCCAUCUUGAUCCAUACACCGACUGCCAUAAGUACUUGAUUGUGUCCAAAAAUCUUCUAUCAUUGAAUUAAAAAUUUAGAUAAUCUGACACCAAAGCACAGUGAGUUUCUUGCAAGUCAUCAUGGUGAUC